rnacentral:rRNA from 1 species
GACGAACGCUGGCGGCGUGCCUAAUACAUGCAAGUAGGACGCAGUUGCGAACGGGUGAGUAACGCGUAGGUAACUACCUAUUAGAGGGGGAUAACUAUUGGCAACGAUAGCUAAUACCGCAUACUAGUAGAUGGACCUGCGUUGUAUUAGCUAGUAGGUAGGGUAAUGUCCUACCGAGGCAACGAUACAUAGCCGACCGGAGAGGGGGAUAGGCAAAAAGGGGACUGAGAGACGGCCCAGACUCCUACGGGAGGCAGCAGGAGGGAAGCUUCGGCAAUGGGGGUUUUUUUGACCGAGCAAAGCCGCGUGAGUGAAGAAGGUUUUAGGAUCGUAAAGCGCUGGUGUGAAGGAAGCGGUACUUAACCAGAAAGGGACGGCUAACUACGUGCCAGCAGCCGCGGUAAUUC